GUAGGGGGCUAGCGUUGUCCGGAUUUAUUGGGCGUAAAGAGCGUGUAGGCGGCCAAGUAAGUCCGGUGUGAAAACUCGAGGCUUAACCUCGAGAUGUCAUCGGAAACUAUUUGGCUAGAGUCCGGAAGAGGAGAGUGGAAUUCCUGGUGUAGCGGUGAAAUGCGCAGAUAUCAGGAAGAACACCUAUGGCGAAAGCAGCUCUCUGGGACGGUACUGACGCUGAGACGCGAAAGCGUGGGGAGCGAACAGGAUUAGAUACCCUGGUAGUCCACGCCGUAAACGAUGGGUGCUAGGUGUGGGCGGUGUCGACUCCGUCCGUGCCGAAGCUAACGCAUUAAGCACCCCGCCUGGGGAGUACGGCCGCAAGGCUAAA
rnacentral:rRNA from 1 species